AUACGUAGGGGGCGAGCGUUGUCCGGAAUGAUUGGGCGUAAGGGGCGCGUAGGCGGCCCGGUAAGUCUGGAGUGAAAGUCCUGUUUUUAAGAUGGGAAUUGCUUUGGAUACUGUCGGGCUUGAGUGCAGGAGAGGUAAGUGGAAUUCCCAGUGUAGCGGUGAAAUGCGGAGAGAUUGGGAGGAACACCAGUGGCGAAGGCGACUUACUGGACUGUAACUGACGCUGAGGCGCGAAAGUGUGGGGAGCGAACAGGAUUAGAUACCCUGGUAGUCCACACUGUAAACGAUGAAUGCUAGGUGUAGGGGGUAUCGACCCCUUCUGUGCCGCAGUCAACACAAUAAGCAUUCCGCCUGGGGAGUACGGCCGCAAGGUUGAAACUCAAAUGAAUUGACGGGG
rnacentral:rRNA from 1 species